UACGUAGGUGGCAAGCGUUGUCCGGAAUUAUUGGGCGUAAAGCGCGCGCAGGCGGCCUUUUAAGUCUGAUGUGAAAGCCCUCGGCUCAACCGGGGAAGGUCAUUGGAAACUGAGAGGCUUGAGUACAGAAGAGGAAAGCGGAAUUCCACGUGUAGCGGUGAAAUGCGUAGAGAUGUGGAGGAACACCAGUGGCGAAGGCGGCUUUCUUGGUCUGUAACUGACGCUGAGGCGCGAAAGCGUGGGGACGCAAACAGG
rnacentral:rRNA from 1 species